CUGCCAUAUCAUAUUGAAACAUUGGUUCCCAUAUGAUCACUGAAGUUAAGCAACAUUGAGCCUAGUCAGUACCAAGAUGGAUGACUCUUGGGAAUAUCAGAUGCUGUAAG